AGUACGGGAUGUGUUACAUAACCAUUUGGUAUUCAUUUUGAUAUUGGUUGUUGUAAACCCAUCCCCAGCAACGUCAAAAUGCAGAAGGAAAGGACAGUCACACUCGAAGGCGGCUCGAAGGUCACGGAGAAAAACGUGUCAUGCAGCGGUGUAGAGGUUGGGUGAGGACGGACGUUUUGCAUCAUUAUCAAGCAGGUACAACACCCGCAAGGCUUUAGAGGUAAGGGUGAGAAAAAAAAAUCGUAUAAAAGGAGAGAGAAAAGGCAAAGGAAAGUCAGUCGAGUGAGCAUCUCCAUCACGGCAUCAACUGCAGCGCACUAUCUGUCACCAUCUGCCUUCCUCAUCGUAUUACUAGUGCGGAAGCAUAGUUACUAUGGCGUCGUGCUGCUGUUGGGUGUUGUAACGUUGAUGGCUGGGUCGACGACGAGUGUGCCGAUGUCCCCUGGGUAUGGCGGAUACCAAACCGCAACGCCGCCGCCUUACUACACAACAA